rnacentral:rRNA from 1 species
GACGUAGGAGGCGAGCGUUGUCCGGAGUUACUGGGCGUAAAGCGUGCGCAGGCGGUUUUGUAAGCCAGAUGUGAAAUCCCCGGGCUUAACCUGGGAAUGGCAUUUGGGACUGCAAGGCUGGAGUGCGGCAGAGGAGACUGGAAUUCCUGGUGUAGCAGUGAAAUGCGUAGAUAUCAGGAGGAACACCGAUGGCGAAGGCAGGUCUCUGGGCUGACACUGACGCUCAUGCACGAAAGCGUGGGGAGCAAACAGG